ACGAUCUGCUACAUCACCGCUUCAUCCUCGGUUUAGUACCUCGAAUAUAGAUUCUCUGACGGGAAAGCAGGAAGAAGGGAGGAGCUGUCAUCGGUUGCCCCUUCCGCCGGGUUCUCCUACCAGCCCUUCUACCUUGUCCAGCACUAGGACUUGCGUAGUGACUGAAAGCACAACUUGUAAUAUGUCAAAGUGGAAGAAAGGGAGGCUUCUAGGAAGGGGGACUUUUGGGCA
rnacentral:lncRNA from 1 species